rnacentral:rRNA from 1 species
UUUAUAUUUUAUAAAAGCUAUAAUGCUAGAACUAGUAACAAGAAAUUAACUUUCUCCUUAAUGUAAGUAUAAGCCAGAAUGGAUCCCCCACUGGUAUUUAACGCAUAUGAAAACACUAUAACAACAUCUUCCAGAAAAUCUUAUUGAAUUAAACGUUAACCUUACACCCAGAACAUUCCAGGAAAGAUUUAAAGAGAGAGAAGGAACUCGGCAAAUUUUAGCCCCGCCUGUUUACCAAAAACAUCGCCUCUUGAUUAAACAUAAGAGGUCCAGCCUGCCCGGUGACAAAGUUUAACGGCCGCGGUAUCCUAACCGUGCGAAGGUAGCAUAAUCACUUGUUCUUUAAAUAGGGACUAGUAUCAACGGCAUCACGAGGGCCAUACUGUCUCCUCUCUUCAAUCAGUGAAACUGAUCUCCCCGUGAAGAAGCGGGGAUUAGAAUAUAAGACGAGAAGACCCCAUGGAGCUUUAAGCAAUACUUUCACCUUUUAUUACCACAUCAACCUAAUAAGAAGGACUGAAUUUAAGCUUUAGGUUGGGGGGACCGCGGAGUAAAAAUUAACCUCCACGACAAACGGGCAACGCCCUUAUCCACGAAUUACAACUCUAAGAAUCAGAAUACUGAUGUUUAUUGACCCAUUUUAUGAUCAACGAACCAAGUUACCCUGGGGAUAACAGCGCAAUCUACUUCAAGAGCUCCUAUCGACAAGUAGGUUUACGACCUCGAUGUUGG